AUGUCGAGAGUCUACGUAUAUACCAGCAUUCCCCAUGUGGGGUGGCUGUCAGCACUAGCACACUAUUUGGGAGACAGAGAUGCCAAUGAAUAUCCACCAACAAACUUCAUUCUAGAACUGGCCGAAUAUGUUUUGACGUAUAACUAUUUUAGGUUUGAUGAUGAAUGCUACCUCCAAACGAAUGGAACAUCAAUGGGUUCCACAUUCGCUCCUAGUUAUGCUAACUUUUAUGCAGGUCUUUGUGAAGAACGUUUUGUUAAUAAAGAAAACGAAAAUCCAUUUUUGAAUAAAGUCCUGAAGCUGUAUCGAUAUAUUGACAUCAUUUUUUGCAUAUGGGAAGGAACUGAAAAAGAGCUGUCAGAUUUUAUGGCACUACUCAAUGACAUUGACCCCAAUCUCAAAUUCACUAUUGAAUGUGACACUCAACGUGUUCAUUACCUAGAUAUGUGGAUUGAGAAAGCAAAUGGAACCCCGUUUACAACUCUGUAUAGAAAAGAAACAGACAGAAAUACUCUAUUACAGGGGGACAGCUUCCAUCUUGAGCCAUUAAAAAGAGGACUUCCAAGAAGCCCGUUUUUCAGACUGCGCCGUAUAAGCCACUCCACAGAGGAUUAUCUAGAAAAAGCAGCGGAGAUGAGCAUUAUGUUUCUAAGAAGAGGAUACUCGUCACAAUGUGUGGAUGAAGCUCUUCAUUUGGCAUUAGGGAAAACACGAGAUGAACUGUUCCAAAAAAGACCCGCUAACGAACAAUCCAUAAUGUUCACAACCACAUAUGCUUUGAACUCACGAAAAGUGGGAGGUGUGGUCAAGAAACACUGGCAUAUUUUAUCAUCGGACCCAGCUUUGCCGGCUGAAUGUAAAAAUCCACCACUUAUUGUUUAUAGGAGAGGUCGCAAUUUACGAGAUAAAUUGGUUCAUGCCAACUGCCAGCCACAAAAGAAAAUCAGCCAGGCUCUUUUACACCCUCUACCAAAUGAUAGCUACAGUGGGGCAAAAAAGUAUUUAGUCAGCCACCAAUUGUGCAAGUUCUCCCACUUAAAAAGAUGA
rnacentral:lncRNA from 13 species